CUGUGCUAGGUAUAUUGGGACUGGCAAGUGGGUGCACUACUGUGGCACAUGCACAAGGGUGAUGGGGUCUGUUCUAGCCAUUCUCCGUUCUCCAAAGCACCCUGUGAGUUCCUUGGAGGCAGGGUGUAUGUAAUGCUCACUUCCUGUUCCAGAGGGCAUCUGUGAGGGCCAGGAAUGGAGACUAAAACAGCAGCAGCCAUUUCUGAAACCCCUGGCAAUGCCUGCCAUACUCUGCCUGUCUCGCAUGAUGGUCCCAUCCCUCCAAGGUAGCUACUGUAAACAGAGAGGAAACUGAGGGCCCAGGGAUGGGCCUGAAGCUUCAUACUGUGGCUCUAGGUACCAGAAGCCCUUUAGGGUCUGCCUUCCCCAUUAUACUCAGGCAGGAGGGUAGGGCUAUAUCUCUCUGAUCUACCACCCACCUGUCCCUAGUGCCUGUGACAAGAUCUGCAAACAGUUGUGAAUGAAUGAAUGAAUGAAUGAAUGAUUCCAGUAAGCUCUAGAGGGGCUUUAGAGAAGUGGAGGUGUAGAUAGUCCAGGCUUUUGAGUGAUAGAGGCUUGCUUCUUUCUCCCCCAGAAGCCAGGUCCUGCCGGAUAGUGGGGUCAGGCUGAGACUCCACUUCCUUUCUCAUUCUUUGACCAAGUUCUGUCCCCGUGCCCCGCCUUGCAGUUCUCCUCCAGGCUUGUUCAUAUUCUAUGUGUCAGGAGCAUUUGGUAGGCCUCGUGGGUUCCUGUCGUGGAAUAGUUAGGGCAUGCCCAUUCAGGGAUGGGGUAUUAAAGGGACAGGGAUCAUCUCGCUCAUGUGUUACCCAGGAACAGGUACUCUAAAGGGUGAGUCAUGAAGGCCUUAGAAGGAUCAAAUCAUAGGGGCAAAUGCUUCAAGUUGGAAGCCUUACCAAAGACGAGGUGGGCAGAUGGGAAGGAUGGCAUGCAGGGAGGUGAUGAUAUUGAUCGAAAUGAAGAGCAAACAUUAAAGAGGGAAGAGACAGCCAGGGAAGGAACCACAUAGCCCCAAAGUGCACUCUAGAGGCAGAGCUAUGGGCUCUACCUGGUAGGGUUGGAUGGCCAGAGUGGCCAUUGGGCAUGUAUGUUGGGAGGGAUUGGGUCAUAUUCUAGCUGGGUGGAAGUGGAACGUACAGAUCUGGGGUGGUGGGUGUGGGGCUCAGUACCGGGAUCUUCACUGGACUCUGUGGGGUGUGGAACAGUCGGUGCACAGAUGCUGGUGGUCAGGGUCUUAAGUGAGGUUGACACUAAGAGGGGUUAUCAGCGUGGGAUGAUGUCACUGCUUUAGAGAGGGUGGCACCUGGGAGAACUGAGCUGAUAAACGAGGCAGACUAAAGUCUCAUGCACCAGUCAACUUUCCUCAGAACCCCAGGCACUUUAUACUCUGAGGGUUAUGACAGGGCACAUUGGUAAAGUUCAGGUUUUAUACCGUCACAAGGACAAGUCUCGCGUGACAAGAAGGUGUUUUUCCAUGGAGGCACAAACAUUUAAUUGAAUAACAGCAGCAGGCAGUAAUGAAUAAUCCGAAGCAAAUUCCUAUCCGCUACACCUGGGAGGAGCACGCCUCCCGUCAUGCCUGAUAUAUGACUGAUACAUGUCCGUGUCUGUCACAUGCCUGGUGAGGCUGGAGCCUCAUAGGAGAGGUGGAUCUCACUUUGCAGUGCCUCUCUCUGUUCAUCCCAUGUCUUCCUCAUAGGCAUGCAGUGUCCACAGGCUUGUGUCUGUGGUAUAUUGUGCCACUUGAAGGCUUCUGCAAGACUGAAGCAUAGAAGGAGCUACCGCUGAAGGCUUUGGGUAGAGCCAGCAGUCCUCAGGGCUAGGUCUUUUCUGAGGGGUUCUCAGAGUCCUAGGAACUCACUUAGAAGCGUUGACUGCAUCAGCCUGUCUGGGCCUCUCUGCAGGCCAGCGGUCCCGUGUGGAGACAGGCUGUAUGGCACAUGGCAGUCUACAGUUUGAGAGCAUUUGCAUGUGGGUACACAGGUGACUGUGGCCUGAGGUUUUCUCCUCCCGUGCUCUCUGCACUGUUGCUAGCAUCCUUCUGCCUUCCUCUGAAGAACUGCAGGUCUCUUCCUUUUUCCUGAGGUUGGCAUAGUAACCCGUCCCUUGAGGCCUUGUACAGGUUGUGUACAUAUGCCAGAUAUCCUUUUGAUGGAAAGACAUGCUUUUCUUUCUUUUUUCUUUGAACACAAGAAUUUAUUUUAUAUCUUUAUAUCUGUAUCUGUGGGUUAGGUUAUGUGCAAGUAAGUGUAAUGCCCACAGAGGCCAGAAGGGGGCAGUAUUCCUUGGAGCUGGGGUUGCAGGCAGUUGUGAGUCAUGAUGUGGGUGCUGGGAACCAACUUGGGACCUUCUGGAAGUGCAGUGGACACUUGGCCACUGAGCCAUCUCUCUAGCCUCGUGGUUUUGUUUGUAUCAGUGAGUAAAAUUCUUUCUUUCUUUCUUUCUUUCUUUCUUUCUUUCUUCCUUCCUUCCUUCCUUCCUUCCUUCCUUCCUUCCUUCCCUCCCUCCCUCCCUCCCUCUCUUCCUCCCUCCCUUCUCUCUCUCUCCCUCCCUCCCUCCCUCCCUCCCUCCCUCCUUCCUUCCUUCCUUCCUUCCUUCCUUCCUUCUUUCAAAUUAGUGUUUGUCAUUGUUUCUUUUCCUGUUGCUAUGGUAAGUACCCCAGCCAAAGCAACAAGGUAGAAAGGGUUUAUUCUGACCCACAAUUUGAUAUUUCUGUCCAUUAUGGUGGCUGAGUGAAAAUGGAGGUAUGUCUUCUCCUACGUAUGCCUCGGGAGACAUUUUUUAUUGUGGAUAUGAGGGAGAGCACAUCCAGGGCCAUCUAGAAGAGUCUACACUGAACCAGGGGCCAAAAGAGGAGAGAUAAAGAGAAGAGAGAGGGAACAAAGCAGAGGGGCCAAGAGAGGAAGGAGCUGAGAGAACCAAGGGCCAAGAGAACAGAGACACAGAGAGAAACAGACAACAGAAACCAAGAGAUGGUAUGCCAAAAUGGCGGCGUUAUAUAGGAAAGAGAAGGUGGGGAAAGGUGUAAAGGUGGAGAGGUUUAGGACAGGGGCCAGAGGUGAGAAGAGAAGGUGAGAGGUGCAGGUGAGAGGAGCCCCUCACUGAGUGAGCCUGGAGCCAACACACUCUUUGGUAUGCAAAUAAAGGACCCGAGCCACUUGUCCCAGAAUUCUUUGGGACAGUGGGGGAAGCCCGUGGCAGCAGAAACUUGAAGAGACUGGUCAAACUGCAUCCACGAUCAGGAAGCAAAGAGAGAAAUGUUGGCGUUCAGUUAGCUUUUUCUUUCUUCUGCAGUCCAGGGCUGUAACGUUUAACUUCCUUGGAUUCUUUUCCUCUUUGACAAAUCACACAUUAAAAAAUGUCCUCUGUUCUGUUUUACUGUGGCCCUUACACAUGCAGGAAACAGUCAUGCCGUCUCCUAAUGCUCUUCUGUCUUAGAAUGUCCUCCACCAAACAAAUUAAUCCAUGACCUUUGAACUUUAAACGCGAGACUUUUACACAUGAAGCUAGCUAGAUUCUCUCCUAGAAUCUGUAGAAGUUACGUCUGGUUCAUCCAGCUCCAUGUUCCUUCCCAGAAAUAAGACUCAGACUCAAAAUAAAUAUUUACAAAUACCUUGGCUAUAUAGCUAGGCUCUUCUUCUCUGAGUAGAUCAUAACUAAAAUAAUCCAUUUAUUCUAAUCUACAUUCUGCUACAUGGCUGGCUACCUGUGCACAGGUACCACCUUCCUGAGCAAAUCUCCCACCCUGCCUCUAUCCCAGAAUCCUCUCUGCCUUCCGAUGUCCCACCUUCUAUUCUACCCUUUCCUACAGGCCAUAGGUUUUUAAAUUGACAGGUGAUGCAUCCGUACAAUGCACAAGCUAUUUUCUCCUAAGAAUCUACAUGCAUGGUCCACAACCCCGCCCCAGAUAGAGCCCUUGUCGUCUCCAAUGAGUAGGGUCUCCACUGUCCAAAUUUCUGUCAGCAUUCUUGUCUUCCAAGCUCCCACCAGUAUAGCUUAAGCUCUGCCUACAGCAUUCAAGGCUGUUCUGCCUCAAACCUCCAGACUCCUCCGUAUUUCUCCUUUGAAUCUGUUCUAAAGGCCUGAAAGACUAGUGGUCAGGCUUAUCACAGCAGCACCCCCACUCUCUGGUACCAAUUUUUUCUGAAUUGUAUAUGUGUCAUGUUUCUGUAAUAAAAGCAACUUAAGGGAGAGAAGGUUAGUUUUGGCUCAUGGUUCAAGGUUGCCGUCCAUCAUGGCAGGGAGCAUGACACCAGGAACUUGAGAUACGGGACUGUUUUACACCUGCACUCAGACAGCAGAGACUUGAGGGCUGCUGGUCAGCUUGCUUUCUCCUUUUUCUGCAGCUCAGGAUUCAAGCUCAGAGAAUGGUGCCACCCACUUUUAGGGCGUGUCUUCCAGUCUCAGCUAACCUAAUGAAGAUAUCUCCCAGAAGCUAACCCAAGCAGCCAGUUUCUUACAAGUGUGUCAUGCUGAGAGUAUUAACCAUUACAGUGCUUCAUACACGUUU